UUUAGAUCAUAGCUAAAUUACAUUUUCACAUUUGUUCAGAAUAAUUAUCACUCUACAACACGUUAUAUUGACCCUAAAUAUAAAUAAUUAAAUUUUAGUUAAAAUUUGAUGUUAUGAAAUUCUAUCUCAAUACCUACUACACAGCAAUCAACAUUUUGCAAGUCGAUUAUUACGAAACAGAGGAAGUAAAUAUUCAUCUUUCAAGCGGAAUUUUCUUGGCGGGAAACGCAAACGUUGGAAAAAAAAAAAAACAAUAAGCAAAGCCAUGGCAAGGUGACUUCAAGAGAGAGAAAGAUGGCAGAUUAACGGAGCUUUCAUCGUUUGACGAAUUCUUCGUGCUCCUUCAAUCUCAGGUAAGCUAGAUUUCGUCUAUUUUUAGUGUUUUUGAUUUUUGCUAGCUUUUGUUUGAUUUUUGAUUACAAAUUCCAUUUUUAGGGUUUUCCGUCAUUCGAUGAAUUUGAAUGCAUUCGGUAGCAUUAAAUCUUGAAUUCUAUAAAUUAGAGUUCGAAUUGACGUGAAAUUAGGGUUUCCUUUUGGUGAUGAACAAUUUUGCUGAUUUCUUUGAUUUGCUAUAGAUUGUGCAUUGAAUUUUGCUUUUAACUUAUGUAUAGCAAAACUAUUUUGUUUUAAGACAAGUAAUUGAGCAUAAUUUAUCAGAAUUGGUGAAUUGAAACGAUGAUUCGCGAUAAUUAGCGCUAUACUUGAUAAAAGUGAUUUAUAUGGUAAAGCAUAUUAAUAAUUGUAAGUUUGUAAGUGUUAGAUUGUACUUAAGAUUUUAGGUUGGAAGAAAUUCACAAAUGCAUCCACAAUUUAGAAUUGAUCUCACCGAUGAAUGUUUUUGGGAGGUCUGAAUGUAUGUAUGUAUUUUGUCUUGCCCUGCCCCAACCUGGAGCCAAUGAUUAUUAAAAAGUUUGUUCCGGAAGUCCGGUUGGAAAAGGUGAAGUAGUUUUCAAUCUAGUAAAGUUGCUGAGCUGAUGAACUUGUAAAAUGAAAAUACAUUGUGAUUUUACAGUAUGCAAGAGAUUUUAUGUUGCUUAAGAGUUUCGUAGUCCUCCAUUUUAUGCAAACUUUGUUGUCCUUCCUUUCUUUCUUUUUCAGAAUGAAAUCGUGUUUUUUGUCUCUUUGUGAUCAAUGAAUUAGGAAAAGUAUUCUUGUUAAUGUUCUUCAAUAGCCCGUGUUUCCUAUUUUUUUGGCAAACCAGGAAUUAUGUCUUUCAGACCCUCAACUUUUAUUUAUGUAAAUCAAAAUAUAGGGAAAUUUUCGAUAAACCUAUCUUCCAUGUACAACUUUAUUGACUACCUUUGUACAUGUUCCUUUUUAAUUAUUAAGUUGGGUCUCUUGGUUUUUGCCCUAGACCACUUAGCAUCUUUGGUUAUUGCCGCAAAGUGAAGAUUAUGGAUGGGACCCAAUCAGACCAGAUUAUUGAAUUGUGAUGAUUCAUGAUCAUUAUCAAUAAUAACUACUAUGUUAUAUGAACUAUGACUUCAAGUUGCCUCAUAAACAUGAAGGUACAAUUAGGUUACAUUUAUCAUGGCUUGUUGGGGUUCUGAUGAGAGUAUUGAUUUCUGGUUUUACGACGUUUGAAUCUUAGUGUUAGAAACAUUUUGCACAGUGAGACACUCGAUCACAUAAUGUCUGUAUUCUGGUGUCAGGGUAACUGAAGUAUUACUUUAUUAAGCUGCUUGUCAAAAUUUGUAAUUUAGUAAAUAUAAGUGCAUUUGAUUCUUGAAAAGGGUAUGUCUGUAUAUGGUUUCUGAUUCAUAUUGAUCUCAUGAUUGAUGGAUCUUUUCCCUUAUUUGAGUUUAUGGAAUUCAGCUUCCGAUGUCAUUUGUUACUAGCUUUCAUAAUUUUAUGCCAUACUUAAGGUCUUAGAAGUGUUGUCUGAAAUUCAUGCUAUUUCUACAGGCUACAAUAAGAGGUAUACUGUGCUAUAACCCUCUUGUAUAUAUUCUAAUAUUAGCCAUACAUAAUUAUAUAAUUAUUUCAUAAGUGAACCUGAAUUUUAAUUCACUGAUUGUACAUAGCUAUUUUCAGUUGUAAGUAAACAGUGUUGUAAAAAUAACAAAUAUGUACUCACUAAAUUUAUUUGUCCUUUCUGAAGUUUAAAGUCUCCCUGAGAUCUACUUGACCUAAAUGACCAAGUAAUGAACUACAUAUGCAUAUUUUAGGGGGAUGUGCUAGUACAAUCAAGGAAACCUUAAUAACAGUGUUUGGUGAAACUGAUUAUUAUCAAAUUUAUGGAUGUUCGAUGUUGUAACAACAUGCUACAUAUAUUAAUCUGUCAACUACAUGUUCGGUGAAACUGAUUAUUGUCAAUUUAUGGUUGUUGCAACAACAUGCUACAUACAUUAAUCUGUCAAUCAGUUCAUUAAUACAUGAAUCCAUUUCUGCAUUGUAUGUUGCUGGUAGACAAAAUUGAAGAUGCCAAAUCAAAUAUAAUAGGCUCUUCCCCUUUUGCUCGAUGUCAUUGUUGUAGAGAUUCAUUAAGCAUGUUGCAGUGGAGAGAGAUAUUUUGCUGUUGCAUGUCCUGAGACUCUUGACAUUCAAUGACAGUAAAUUCCUUCUUUGUCCUGCAGUUUCUUCCUGUUGAGUGGUCAAUGUAGAAUGUUUAGGGCAAUUCACUCAAUGAGCCCCUACUUUAUCAUGCAUUGUAUAUUAAGAAACAUCAUGAACUCUAAUGUUGGAUCUCCCAAGUUUAUAAACUGCUUAUGCCAGAAGUAUACAUCUUUCUCUUCUUAUUUUAUGUUAUUAUUUUAUAUUAGCCUUGCAGGGGGAGGGGAGGUAAAAGCAUACCUUGACUAUUAACGCCAUUAUUGCAGUGGGCUUGAUGACUAAUAAUCUGUUUUGAGUAGCUCUUAAAGAGCAUUAACCGAGUCAUUAUUAGAUGCACUUCAAGAAAUCCACCCUAGGUAAAGUUAUGGAGCUUCCUCGCUUGAGAAGAUAUAUACAAGUUUUAGAGUUGGCUAAGAUGAUUCUUAAUUCUGUAUUGCUCCACUUUGUGCAACACCUCACCUACCUGGACUGUAGUAAUAAUGCAAAAAACUGGCCAAGUGAAUAUAAGGUUAAAUUUUAUCCUUUUUACAAUCUCUUGUACAUUCCAGAUUUGUCUGUAUAGUUCUAUAUUUUUUUUUACUGUUAUGAUCAGUGACCACUGCCUAAUUUAUCUAGUCUGCACUAGAUGUUUUCUUUUUGCUUUCCACCCCUUAUCUGCAGGGCUGUAGCAGGAUGAUUGCAUCACACUGCCAGGGACUUCUGUUUACAUGAAGGAAUCUAAAGCUGAUAGUCUACUGAAAUGUUAUGCUUGAAUUCGACAUGUUUCGUUUGACUCUGAAAUCCUUUUAAUGUGUUCGACCUGUUCGUUUGGUGGUGGCUUCCAACAAACCUUGAUAACAUAUACGGACUACUUACAAGGCAAUACAUGGUGCUAUACAUGUAUGUCUCUUGAAACUAAGCAACAACUAGAUGUUAUCUUAUGUUAUAGUUUAGGAGAAUCGAGAAUGUGGUAUAUUUUCCAUAGUGAUUAAUGUGUGGGAAAUAUUGUAACAUAUAAUUACAGGAUUUCGAAAUUAUCAAGUUUUAAUCGGUACCUUGUAGCAUGAAUAAAGGAUGAGCCUCGUUUUCUUA